rnacentral:rRNA from 1 species
AUUGAACGCUGGCGGCAGGCCUAACACAUGCAAGUCGAACGAGUGGCGGACGGGUGAGUAAUGUCCGGGAAACUGCCCGAUGGAGGGGGAUAACUACUGGAAACGGUAGCUAAUACCGCCUACUAUCGGAUGUUCCCAGAUGGGAUUAGGUGGUAGGUGGGGUAAAGGCUCACCUAGGCGACGAUCCCUAGCUGGUCUGAGAGGAUGACCAUGCACACUGGAACUGAGACACGGUCCAGACUCCUACGGGAGGCAGCAGUGGGGAAUAUUGCACAAUGGGCGCAAGCCUGAUGCAGCCAUGCCGCGUGUAUGAAGAAGGCCUUCGGGUUGUAAAGUACUUUCAGCGGGGAGGCGUUACCCGCAGAAUAAGCACCGGCUAACUCCGUGCCAGCCGCCGCGGUAAUAC